CCUACGGGCUGCACCAGUGGGGAAUAUUGCACAAUGGGCGCAAGCCUGAUGCAGCCAUGCCGCGUGUAUGAAGAAGGCCCUAGGGUUGUAAAGUACUUUCAGUCGGGAGGAAGGCGUUGAUGCUAAUAUCAUCAACGAUUGACGUUACCGACAGAAGAAGCACCGGCUAACUCCGUGCCAGCAGCCGCGGUAAUACGGAGGGUGCAAGCGUUAAUCGGAAUUACUGGGCGUAAAGCGCACGCAGGCGGUUGAUUAAGUUAGAUGUGAAAUCCCCGGGCUUAACCUGGGAAUGGCAUCUAAGACUGGUCAGCUAGAGUCUUGUAGAGGGGGGUAGAGUUCCAUGUGUAGCGGUGAAAUGCGUAGAGAUGUGGAGGAGUACCGGUGGCGAAGGCGGCCCCCUGGAUAAAGACUGACGCUCAGGUGCGAAAGCGUGGGGAGCAAACAGGAUUAGAUACCCGUGUAGUC
rnacentral:rRNA from 1 species